UUUGCAAACCACUUCCAACCUUGUGCAAAUGUGCUUCUCGCUUCUGUUUGAUCUGACUUCCGUAACGCUUAGAUCUCGUGGAUGAGGACUCUGGCUCCUAAUAUUUGUCUCACUCCUUUCUCCAAGUUUGCUAAAUGAUUAACAUCAAUGAGGGCUCCAGCUGCCACCAUCCACCCAGAGCCCUGCUUUGGUGGGCUAGCACUCCGAGCUUCGCAUGCAUUAUCUCAUUUAGUCCCGCAGCCACUUACGAGGUUGUGGGGGUUUCCCUCCAAUGGCAGCUCUGCUCCCGCUGGCUGUCAAAUUCUGGAAUUGGCCCUGGUGGUGAGAAAGGAAGGAGCUUCUUUACUAUUUCGAACAAACUGUCAGAACUGACACAAGCUGGGUUUUUAAACAUCAAGCCAUCCAGGAUGGGUAAGGUAUUGAGAAAUAUUCUAGAAUAUAUUCAAAGUCAAUGAGGGAACAAAUGUAGAUAAUGAUAUUUGUAAGAAGGAUUUGCACAGUGUGGAAAAUUUAUUCCAAUAAAUAUUUGUCUAUAACAUCCCUUGUUUCUUUGUUUUUUUUUUAUUUAAAGAUUUUAUCUAUUUAUUCAUGACAGACACAGAGAGAAAGAGGAAGAGACACAGGCAGAGGGAGAAGCAGGCUCCCCUCCCACACUCCCGAUGUGGGACUCGAUCCUGGGACCCCAGAAUCACAGCCUGAGCUGAAGACAGAUACUCAACCACUGAGCCACCCAGGCAUCCCUCUUUGUUUCUUUGUUGUAGAGUUGCUUUUACCAGACAGUUUCUGAUCCCAGCUACACACACACACACACACACACACACACACACACAUGCACACACACACACAAUCACUGGAGGCCCAGUGCUCAAUGCAAGCACAACAACUUCUAAUCCCAAACAUCCACUAUUGUGACCAACACCGCUCAGGCCCCAGGGACAUCUCCUCCAUCUCUGUCCUUGAAGUAAAAGGGACUGCAUCUGAGUAUCAAGCACCAAGAAGAUACGUUUGCACCACUGCUGACUUUGGAGAUGACCACAACUCUGGAGCAUACAGCGGAUUAGAGUAGCCAAAACACCAGGGUAAGAAAAAGACAAAUUCUUUACCUUGUUAAUUCUUCCCCUUCUGUAGCAAGGAUGUAAUAAAUUCUUGCAUAAUGAAGAAUUAUUUGGGCAGCCUGGGUGGCUCAGCGGUUUAAGCACCUGCCUUCUGCCCAGGGUGUGAUCCUGGAGUCCCACACCGGGCUGCCUGUGUGGAGCCUGCUCCACCCUCUGCCUGUGUCUCUGCUUCUCUCUCUCUCUGUGUCUAUCAUGAAUAAAUAAAUAAAAUCAUUUUUAAAAAAAAAAAAGAAAAAGAAACAUGUAGGGUCCACUUAACUGUGGAUUCUUUUUUUUUUUUUUUUUUAUAACUGUGGAUUCUUAAAAAAAAAAAAGAAUUAUUUUCCAAUACUGCCAAAAAUCCACUUUCUUCUCUUCACAUGUCCAAUUCAGGGUUCCGGGGGGUAUGCUAAGAAAUUACACAUAGUAUUCCCAACAGGUGCACAUAUAUUUUGGCUAACAUUUUCCAAUAUCAUGUAACUUGUAUUUCUUUAGUUUUGUACACAAAUAUAGUUCUAGCUUGAAUAUAUAUGAUCUGUAAAACCAGUUCUCGAUAUUACCAGCUAAAUGAACUUUGCUAGAAUUGCAAAUAGUUUUAUUUUUAUAAAAAAUCUCACUGAGGUGUAAUUAAAUCUUUUAAAAAUAUCUUUUAGGGGAGCCUGGGUGUCUCAGUCAGUUAAACAUCUACCUUUAGCCCAAGUCAUGAUCCCAGGGUCCUGGGAUCGAGUCCUGCAUCAGGCUCCCUGCCUAGCAGGGAGUCUGCUUCUCCCUCUUCCUCUACCUGCCUCUUCCUCUGCUUGUGCUGUCUCUCUUUCUCUGUGUCAAAUAAAUAAAUAAAAAUCUUAAAAAAUGUAUCUUUUAAAAACCUUCAGAUGAGGAUGCCUGGUGGCUCAGUGGUUGAGCAUCUGCCUUUGGCUCAGGUCAUGAUCCUGGGGUCUUGGGAUUGAGUCCUGCAUCAGGCUCCCCAAAGGGAGCCUACUUCUCCUUCUGCCUAUGUCUCUGCCUCUCUCUCUGUAUUUCUCUAAAAUCCUUCUUAAAAAAACCCUUCAUAUCUAUUCAAAUAAUUUUAUUUUAACUUUUGAUAUUCACUAAGUAAAUUAUAUUUUGCAUUUCGGUUGCAAUGGAUAAUGUUGAGUAUUUUGGAAGAAAAAUAAGUUUUUU
rnacentral:lncRNA from 1 species